rnacentral:lncRNA from 1 species
GGGCUUUGUACUACAAGGAGUAAGUUUCAAUUUCUCUUUAAGCAACCAGCUUGUAGCUAAAUCAUUUAAGAAUUAGAUAGCACUAUGUUUCCUACUCUAUGCACUGCUUGUUUUGCCAUUUGAACAGGAAUUGAAUGAACUGCGUAGAAUUAGAGCAAUGAGGAAAUGACAGAGGGAAUUUGCCUCAACAUUGUAAAAGGGCUUGUGCUGGAAUGAAUUUGGUUGAUAGAAAUGCUGCAUAUUAGGCUGUGCUUCUGUAUGUAAAAAAUUAUCAUAUGAAUGAUGUGAAACAUUAUUAUGGUUUAUUAUAUACUGUUUUUAUAUUACAAUGAUAUGUAAUAUACAAAUCCUACAUAUAGCCUCUUUAUACACUUCUAAGAACAUUGUCUCAAAUGAAAACAAAUAAGAUGGAAAAAUACCUCAGUGCCUCUUGCCUCUCUCGCUCUUCUUCAGCAUCUCUGUGCCUCUUCUCAUGUUCUUCUGAAUCGCUCCUUUGUUCCUCUUCGUCUUCUGAGGAAUCCCCACUGCGUUUGUGUUGCUUUUUGUGAUGGUACCUGUGGUUUGGUUUCCAGAUCCUCUUCUCUCUGUCUCCCCCUUCCUCCUUGCUUUUUGCCUGAUCAUCAUUUAGAUCCCAGGAUUCUUGACUGCGUUCUUCAUCUUCUUCAUCUCGUUUGUAGUUUUUGCCUGAGCUGUACCGAUAGGUAGGUCUAUAUCUCUUUUGCUUCUCAUCGCCUGUGCCCCAUGACUCUUGACUGCGUUCUUCUUCUUCUUCAUCUCGUUUGUGGUGUUUUCCUGAGCUGUACCGAUAUGUUGGCCUAUAUCUUUUCUCUCUUUCAUUUCCCAGGCUCCAGGACUCUUGGCUGCGUUCCUCUUCUGGUUCUUUCUCUUCCUCCAUUCCCUCCUCAUCUCGUUUGUGGUGUUUACCUGGGCUGUAUCGAUAUGUUGGCCUAUAUCUUUUCUCCCUUUCAUUUCCCAGGCUCCAGGACUCUUGACUGCGUUCCUCUUCUGGUUCUUCUCUCUCAUCCUCCAAACCUUCAUCUCGUUUGUGGUGUUUACCUGGGCUGUAUCGAUAUGUUGGCCUAUAUCUUUUCUCCCUCUCAUUGCCCAGGCUCCAGGACUCUUGACUGCGUUCCGCUUCUGGAUCUUCUCUCUCAUCCUCCAAACCUUCAUCUCGUUUGUGGUUUUUACCUGGGCUGUAUCGAUAUGUUGGCCUAUAUCUUUUCUCUCUUUCAUUUCCCAGGCUCCAGGACUCUUGACUGCGUUCCUCUUCUGGUUCUUCUCUCUCUUCCUCCAAACCCUCUUCAUCUCGUUUGUGUUGUUUUCCUGGGCUGUAUCGAUAUGUUGGCCUAUAUCUUUUCUCCCUUUCAUUUCCCAGGCUCCAGGACUCUUGACUGCGUUCCUCUUCUGGUUCUUCUCUCUCUUCCUCCAAACCCUCUUCAUCUCGUUUGUGUUGUUUUCCUGGGCUGUAUCGAUAUGUUGGCCUAUAUCUUUUUUCCUUUUCGUCCCCCAGUCUCCAUGAUUCCUGACUGCGUUCCUCAUCUGGAUUUUCUCUCACUUCCUCAGAAACCUCAUCACGUUUAUGUUUGAGUUUCUUAUGAUGAUACCUGUGGCUUGGUUUCCAAAUUCUUUUGUCUCUCUCAUCAUUAAAGUCCCAUGACUCUUGGCUGCGCUCUUCAUUCUCCGGUGUCUCUUUCUUCUCAUCUACAGACUUCAGGAGUGCUUCUAUGUCUUUCACAUCGGCCCCUGGAACCUCAGGUUUGUGACCUUUGCCCUCCUCAUUACGGAUCAGCACCUCCUCACCACUCUUCUUCUCCACAGGGGCAGCAUUUUGGGCACCUAUAGAGAAGGAGUGAAGAAAAGGGACAUUCAGUAUUCACUGUGUCUACUAUGUCUGUUGUGUUCCAAUUCAAGAUAGAUCCCAAUGAAUUAACACUUUACAGAGAGAGAGACGAUUUUUACCAGGCUUUGUUUCAGUAUUAACACCUGAUGGAACUAAUCAGCCACUCAUAGCCACUUGAUUAGUUCUUGUGUCACAUACUCGCAUACUUAAAUUCUGCAAUGUUUUUUUGUAUAUAUACAAAGGCAAUGUAUCUUUGAUUGGUUGCCAGGUUGCAGCUCUAUGUUUCUGGUCUCUGUGGUAGCAGAAGCCACACCGAUUCACUUUGGAAACAGUUUUACCUGAAUGUGUCCUCCAGCAGAACCAUGUUUACACAUUUAUAUUCAUCGUCUCUACUUCCACACUAUGGCUGGGUCUCUAUAAUAAAGUGGCUUGCUCUGCUUGUCUAGUUUCCUUCAUUUACACUGAUUAUAGAACAAGACAGGCAAAAGCGAUUUCUUAGAAUCACGCAUCACAGCAGACAAACAAGGUUCAUUAACCCCAGUCUUGUAAAUGACACUGACAUGAUAUCACUAUCACAGCUGAGGAAGCCAGGCUUUGAUGUAAUAAAAUUACUAUUGUAUUCAUCUCUAAAAUAAAGAGCAGUUUUCUCCUACAAUAUUUGAUUUUCACAAUUGUUAUUGUGCAGCUUUGGAAAUACUGCAAGUGACAAUGUAAGAAUUGCUCGCCUGCUUUGAGAAUAUCUUUGCACUCCUGAUCCAGAGGGUGUAAAUCAGGUUUGGUAAGUGCCUUGGACAGGACCUCGACCAAGCACCGUGUUACCUGAAAUAAGGUACCCAGGACAAUUAUCAUUAAAGCAAAUCAUUUCUUUGUAAUCUUUGUUGUCCUGAAAUAGGCGAAAAUCAUUGUCCUUACCACAUCUUCUCUCUGUCGCUCUUUUCCAACAGGAAGAGAUCGAUUUUCUGUAAAUUCGUGAGAAAAUGUCAGCAUGUGGUUCGGUGAUGGAAAUAACUUUUUCAAAAUGACCAGAUAUCACAUAAAAAAAUUUGUAAACAUAUGGUGAAAUGAUAUAACGUCAUUCAAAAAGAUUAACACUAGAGGAAUUGCUCCUACUAACAGUACACUGCGUAAAGGGCAAGUGUCGCUAUCCAUGGUGCUGGAACGUUUAAAAUGCGUGCCUUAUCGAACAUUUAUGGAAUUGACCCAUAGCAUACCUGCAAAAAAAGACAUAACCAAAGCCAAAACAAAGAUGGGUUUCAUGACUGAAGAAUUACAAUAUAUUCCCGUAGAAACUACAUGAAAAAAACGAGAACUAGAAGCAAAAACUCGAAACAAAACGCCGCCAAAAACAACUCUAGUUCUUCCCGCGUGCAGCGGAUCGGAGCGGUUGUGCUGGUUCUGCUGCGGUAGCUGGACGCUUGAUGUCUAGAGGGAGGGAGGUGCACUUUAUAUCAGGACUGAACUGGAAGAGGUGUAGGAGCGAGGUGGACGUCAUUAUUAGAUUAUAAGAUCCUAACCAGUAAGUGUCUUGUGUCCACCCAAAUGUUUGUGACAUGAGAGUGAGACAAUCGCCUGAAGUCAUUCGAGUGGAUGGAUGGUUUUGAGGAAUGCACAACUAGAAUCACGAAUGUCAUCUCUCUCUGUUUACACCCAGCUAGAGGUCAGUUACAAUUGAGAGCAAAACAACAUUAACGUAAAUAUAUGUAAGAUAUGUACUGUACUAAUAGCGUAAAUACAACCAUAAAUUAACAGAAGACAUCUGCAGUAGCGGUUUUAGGUUAACCUUUUUCCUACGAAAUUGUUUGGAGUGCCUGAGAUAUUCCCCGCGUAAAUAUUUUGGCCUGUCCUUCUAUCAGUUUGCUUUGACUUAUAGUCUCCUCAUAUUCGCUA